rnacentral:rRNA from 1 species
GAAUACAUUAGCAUGGAAUAAUGAAUAGGACGUUCGAUCCUAUUUUGUUGGUUUCUUAGGAUUGACGUAAUGAUUAAUAGGGAUAUUGGGGGCAUUAGUAUUCAAUUGUCAGAGGUGAAAUUACUUGGAUUUAUUGAAGACUAACUACUGCGAAAGCAUUUGCCAAGGAUGUUUUCAUUAAUCAAGAACGAAAGUUAGGGGAUCGAAGACGAUCAGAUACCGUCGUAGUCUUAACCAUAAACUAUGCCGACUAGGGAUCGGAUGAUGUUAAUUUUUAAUGACUCAUUUCGGCGCCUUACG